rnacentral:rRNA from 1 species
CAGCCGCCGCGGUAAUACGUAGGUGGCAAGCGUUGUCCGGAAUUAUUGGGCGUAAAGGGCUCGCAGGCGGUUUCUUAAGUCUGAUGUGAAAGCCCCCGGCUCAACCGGGGAGGGUCAUUGGAAACUGGGAAACUUGAGUGCAGAAGAGGAGAGUGGAAUUCCACGUGUAGCGGUGAAAUGCGUAGAGAUGUGGAGGAACACCAGUGGCGAAGGCGACUCUCUGGUCUGUAACUGACACUGAGGAGCGAAAGCGUGGGGAGCGAACAGGAUUAGAUACCCCUGUAGUCCCUGUCUCUUAUAC